UGCCAGCAGCCGCGGUAAGACGGGAGAUGCAAGCGUUAUUCGGAUUUAUUGGGCGUAAAGGGUUCGUAGGCGGUUAAGUAAGUUUGAAGUGAAAUCUCUGGGCUCAACCCAGAAACUGCUUUGAAUACUGCUUGACUAGAGUAUUGGAGAGGUAAGCGGAAUUCCUGGUGUAGCGGUGGAAUGCGUAGAUAUCAGGAGGAACACCGACGGCGAAGGCAGCUUACUGGACAAUUACUGACGCUGAUGAACGAAAGCUAGGGUAGCAAACAGGAUUAGAUA
rnacentral:rRNA from 1 species